CAACAUAUUCGGUUGCAACUUCUUAUUUUUAAGCUAUUAACAAUAUGUAAAAAAAGUAUGAUAAGUGGGUUUAUUGUGAAAUGAAAAUUAAUUAUUCCCAAACAGACGGUGGCAUAAGUAUUUUGACAUUUUAUAAAAUGUAAAAAAAAAAAAAACGAAUGGAACGAACUAACUUUUUAUGCUGAAUCAGCAAAAUAUAUAUCCUCCCUUUGCCUUUAUCACCUUUUGCAGACGUCUCGGAACUGACUCCACUAAGCUGUGGAUAUUAGCCUGCAGAAUUUCUCUCCAGAGUGAUUUCUAUUCUCAGAUGUUAUUCUCACGGUUCCUUGUCAAAUUUGGAGUCUGGUUUUUAUAUAAGACCAGAGAUUCUCGAAAAUGUUUAAGUCUGGGCUCUGGUGCGGCUAGUUCAAAGUAUUAACCCCAAUGUCCUUCAAGAAUGAGUAACGACUUUAGCUUUAUGACACGGGCGUUGUCCUGUUGGAAGGAACUAAAUUUCGCAAGCCAUUGUAGGCGACGCAUCCUUACAACAUAAUGGUUCCACCUCUAUGGAUCGCUCUUACACAUACAUAUACAUAGGUGCCACUUUUUUGCGACGUGAAAGUGAAAAGCACUUGCAUUGCUCCAUAAAAAAUUGUUCCAAAAUUAAAAUUGUUCGCCGAUCAGUUUUUUGGCAAACUCAAGGCGCUUUAACUUAUUGCGCUGUGUUAUUUGCAGUAUAGCUCCGGUAAUAUAUGUUCCAAAAUCAGUUUCCUUAAGACGUCUACGUAUUGUCCGUUCGCUGACUAUUAUUCCGUUGAACUUUACUAUUAUUUCAUUUUUAAGAGAUUCACUGAAUUCCAUUCGGUUACUCAUAUUUCACAAAUUAUUGAACGAAAACAAUUUUUAUCAGCAUUUACAAUCUCUAAACUGAGAUAAUCCGUAAUAAUGGUUUCGCUUUCUAUCAACAGCAGAUCAAUGCAAAUUAAUUGAAGUUCUGACAAAAUACUUUUGUCCAGCCAAGAUCAGAUUACGAAUGAGAAUAAGAAGCAUAUUAAGAAAAC